GGGGACCUUCGGGCCUCUUGCCAUCAGAUGUGCCCAGAUGGGAUUAGCUGGUAGGUGGGGUAACGGCUCACCUAGGCGACGAUCCCUAGCUGGUCUGAGAGGAUGACCAGCCACACUGGAACUGAGACACGGUCCAGACUCCUACGGGAGGCAGCAGUGGGGAAUAUUGCACAAUGGGCGCAAGCCUGAUGCAGCCAUGCCGCGUGUAUGAAGAAGGCCUUCGGGUUGUAAAGUACUUUCAGC
rnacentral:rRNA from 1 species